rnacentral:rRNA from 1 species
GACGAACGCUGGCGGCGUGCUUAACACAUGCAAGUCGAACGGUAAGGCUCCAGCUUGCUGGGGUACACGAGUGGCGAACGGGUGAGUAACACGUGGGUGACCUGCCCUGCACUUCGGGAUAAGCCUGGGAAACUGGGUCUAAUACCGGAUAGGACCGCACCGUGAGGGUGUGGUGGAAAGUUUUUUCGGUGUGGGAUGGGCCCGCGGCCUAUCAGCUUGUUGGUGGGGUAAUGGCCUACCAAGGCGGCGACGGGUAGCCGGCCUGAGAGGGUGGACGGCCACAUUGGGACUGAGACACGGCCCAGACUCCUACGGGAGGCAGCAGUGGGGAAUAUUGCACAAUGGGCGGAAGCCUGAUGCAGCGACGCCGCGUGGGGGAUGACGGCCUUCGGGUUGUAAACUCCUUUCACCAUCGACGAAGGGUUUCUGACGGUAGAUGGAGAAGAAGCACCGGCUAACUACGUGCCAGCAGCCGCGGUAAUACGUAGGGUGCGAGCGUUGUCCGGAAUUACUGGGCGUAAAGAGCUCGUAGGUGGUUUGUCGCGUCGUCUGUGAAAUUCCGGGGCUUAACUCCGGGCGUGCAGGCGAUACGGGCAUAACUUGAGUACUGUAGGGGAGACUGGAAUUCCUGGUGUAGCGGUGAAAUGCGCAGAUAUCAGGAGGAACACCGGUGGCGAAGGCGGGUCUCUGGGCAGUAACUGACGCUGAGGAGCGAAAGCAUGGGGAGCGAACAGGAUUAGAUACCCUGGUAGUCCAUGCCGUAAACGGUGGGCGCUAGGUGUGGGUUUCCUUCCACGGGAUCCGUGCCGUAGCUAACGCAUUAAGCGCCCCGCCUGGGGAGUACGGCCGCAAGGCUAAAACUCAAAGGAAUUGACGGGGGCCCGCACAAGCGGCGGAGCAUGUGGAUUAAUUCGAUGCAACGCGAAGAACCUUACCUGGGCUUGACAUAUACAGGAUCGCGCCAGAGAUGGUGUUUCCCUUGUGGCUUGUAUACAGGUGGUGCAUGGUUGUCGUUAGCUCGUGUCGUGAGAUGUUGGGUUAAGUCCCGCAACGAGCGCAACCCUUGUCUUAUGUUGCCAGCACGUUGUGGUGGGGACUCGUAAGAAACUGCCGGGGUUGACUCGGAGGAAGGUGGGGAUGACGUCAAAUCAUCAUGCCCCUUAUGUCCAGGGCCUCACACAUGCUACAAUGGUCGGUACAGUGGGUUGCCAGUCCGUGAGGGCGAGCUAAUCCCGCAAAGCCGGUCUCAGUUCGGAUCGGGGUCUGCAACUCGACCCCGUGAAGUCGGAGUCGCUAGUAAUCGCAGAUCAGCAACGCUGCGGUGAAUACGUUCCCGGGCCU